UGGGUACACGGUCAAAACCUCUCGUUUCCUCUUUUCAUUCUUCUUAAUCGUCUGAUUGCUAAAGGUUGAGGAUGGGGUUUGGGGUUAACCUCUCUAUAAAGCGCCGAAGCCUUUUCUUUUCCCCCGACUUUCUCCUUCUCGCGACUUCGGACUUCACGCGACCGAGACCGGCGAUUUCUUCUUCUCUCGGUGGCGCCGGCGAAGAGCGGACCUUGGAGCGUUGAGAGGAAGAGAGGUUAGUUACAGCCGAACCUUCUUUCUCCCCGAUCCCUUCCUCCCUUCUCUGAUCUCGGUGAACAACGGCGACGGAUCUCGAUCGGUGGAUUUCGCCGGCUGUCGGGAGGGAACCAAGUGCAUCGGCGUUGGAUCAGGCCAGCAUCGAUUGUUUGGAGGAGGUGGUUCUUUCUGGGAAGCAGAGACUGGUAUUUUGGUCCCGGCCACCACAGCUCUGUUGGAUCGAUCUCUUCUUCGUAUCAGUGAUCGUCUCCGGUGAUUGAAGGGUGCAGAGAGGAUGCGAUGUGCUUAUUUUAGAUACUGGAUUGGGAAGUGCAGAGAAUCAAGCAAGGGUCAAGGAGUUGCUUCAUGUGGAGGAAUCAAAACUAGAGGAGGAUGAGGGAAAUACCACUCCAGCAGUGAGAUGGGUUCGAGAUGAUAAAUAUGAUUGCAUCCGAUUAAAACAUUGCAAGGU